rnacentral:tRNA from 1 species
CAGUAGUUAAACUCUACUAUUAAGGG